GGUGUUGUGGCUCAGUGGUAGAGCGCUCGCCUGGAGUAUGCAAGGCCCUGGGUUCGAUUCUCAGCACCACAU
rnacentral:tRNA from 1 species